rnacentral:lncRNA from 1 species
GGAGACAUCAGGAGCCUGCUGGACAUCGCCAUAGGGGGACAACCCCAUGAGAAUUUCUGUUCCCUAGUUCAGGCACACAGGGACAUCUGCACAGACAUCUGACCAGGGAGGGAACUAGAUGAAACUUCUAAGGCUCGGGAUUAACGCAAGGGCAGAGGAGCUUGAUCCCCAGCACCCACCUGCUCAGGCUGCCAGACAGGCCCUGGGGUAUGAAUAUCACAGACUUACCAGGCUGACAGCACAUAACACUCUCCUCCUGCCCAGGAGGGACCCACUCCUCACCUGCUGCCUUCCCUGACAGUGCCCAUGCGCGCACACACACACACACACACACAGACACUCACACACAAACACUCACACAGGGGGCAAGGGCUAUGGGGCUGCUCAGGUGGGAUCAGAGUUGUGUCCUGCCCUACAUUGGGCUGCUCUGGGCUGCCCCACAUUACCUUUGGGUACCUCCUGCCAAAUGGCCUGUGGCUCCGAGGAUGAGGGUUAAGCCAACUCCUACAACAACACAACAGUCUCACACUCUGGGCUUUCCUGAGCCUAGAGCCUCUGAAAACUGGGCCACAACAAGCAAACAUGUUGUUGUCUGAAGUGUGUCCAGUCAAAUGAGCUGGCUAGGGGCCUGUGUCUAGAAUGUAACUGCCUGGUUACAAGAGUUCUAAGUCUGUUGGGGUCUAUCGCCAAGGAAGUGAGGUCACGUUUUCAAGAUUCCAUUACCUGGGCUGCUUCCUGUAAUCAGACCUAACCAAACCACCCUCAUGUCAUCUUCUUAACUAUACAUGAGGAGCUUCCACAGCCCCAGCCACAGCUGCCUGGCAAUGUCAUGAGGGUCCCAGCUUUGAGGAGGCAGAGCAGAAUUCAGACCUCCUUUAUCUUACCACUUCUCUGUCCAGGAAACCUCAUUGUGCCUCUCAGGGCCUCCCCAGUCUCCAAACCCGCACAAGGGGAAUCCGCCUAGAAUAUACUUGCCAGGGACAUCAUCAGGUGUAUAUGAGAUAAUAUCCAUACCACCUGUGAGGUCGUGUCAAGUGCAAGUAAUGCACAAACAAAGAGAUGGAAGAAUUACGAGAAGGGAUGUAGCAUGAACACCACUCAAAACAGGCCUGGGGUCAGCAAUGCGAUAUUGCAACAGGCAACUCCUCUCUCGGCCUCAUUUCAAUGUCAGCACAAGGAGAGGGUUGCUGAAUGAAAUCCAGACACUGUCAUCCUCUGGAUUCAAACCUCUCCAUUGUUUCCUCUUCUAUUUAGAAAGAGACCCAAGUGCCACAUGUUGAACUAUGAGGUGGGCAGCCUUCACAAUGGCUCCCAGAGAUCCCCACCCGUGGUACACACAUCCCUCACAGAUUCCUGUGUGACCACUGAGUGCUUAGUGACUGGCUGUCACCAAUAGAACACAGCCGGUCUGGACGGAUGUCAUGCCUAAAUUUUAAACACAAAAAGUCUCUCACUUCCUUCUUAUUUCCUCUCUUAAGUUCCACCUCUCUCUUCUCUCUCUCUUUCCCUUCUCUCUCUCUCUUCCCUAUCCCUGAGCUGGGGAAUCAAGCAGAGAUGUUUUGAGCUGCCAUAUACAGAGGCCCACGUGGGAGGGAACCGAGGCAGCACCCAGGCCAACAGACAGAAAGUAACCCAUCCUCUGAGUCCAAACUGUACCCUGAAUCCUUUGAGGAAACCUGGGAGGAAAUUCUCUGCCAGUCGAGCAUCAGCUGAGGUUGCGGCCCCGGCCUUGAGGCAUCUUGAGCAGAGGAACCAAGCUCAUGUAUGUCUGAUUCAACCGCAAAAAUUGUGAGAUAGGAGGCAUUUGUCCUUUUCAGAUUCAAGGCACUGGAACUGUGAUUUCAGGCCCCAGGAUCUGGCAUUGCCCCCUCCUUCUCUGCCCCCCAGGCUUCCUCCAGCCACACUGGCCACCUUUCUCACAUCCUCUGGCCAAACCCCCUUCUGCCCAUGAGUGUCUGCAGCAGAGGUGCCUUCUCCCUGGCACGCUGCUCCCAGACUUGUGCAGGGCUGGCUCCCUCUUGUCAUUCUGGUCCCAGCAAAUGUCACCCCAGUGAGGCCUUUCAGACCCCUACCCGGUGACCCCCAGCCCUCCCUCACAGGCGCCUGAAUGUCCCCAAAACACUGGCUCUUUCCUCUCUCAUGCGUUUGCUUUCAUGCUUUUGUCCUUGUCCCCUCCAGAGUGUGAGCUCCUGACUGGCAGGGACCACUCAGUCGUCGUCAGCCCUGUACUCAGACCCACCUGAGCACCUGGCACAGGGUGCGUGCUCGGUGCACAGUCGCUGAGUGAAGAAUUGUGAAACUCGUGUCCCCUCCUCCUGCUCUUCACCAAGUCAGACUGUGGAGAGGAGCGCUAGUACCAGGAGGAGUGAGUUCUCUCUGAGGCGGGGGACAGCCGGAAAGGCCUCUGCACGGCUAUUCGCUACUCCAGCAGCUGAAGCAGAGCUGAGUGGGCGCCGUGUAAGUUUAAGAAGUCAGCACAGGGACUCGAUGCACACAGACUGCACAAUAACACCACCAGUUCACUUAACAUCCAUCACUGAGAACAGAAAAAUAAGCGUUUCCUUGUGAUGAGAAGUUUAGCUUCUUUGUUCUUAGCAACUUUGAAUGUACCACACAGCAGUGUUAACUUAGGCAGUGUUGUGUGUCAAUUACAUCCCAAUAGAAGUGACAACAAUUAAAACCCAACCCCAGCGGGCACCACUGACGCUGCAGGCUGCCUGCCUCCUGGUGGCCAGCGCCAGCACUGCAGCCCUGGCAGAAGCCAACAAACAGGAAGGUUUCUUUGGGUGUCCUCAAGGCAAAGGCUCCCCACUGUCCCAGGGGUAAAGGAGCAGGACCUGCAGGCUUCCAGACCAUGCAAGGAACCUCAGCAGCCUCUCUCUCCCCAUCUUUCUGUCCCUCCACUCGGGUGUCCUCUUCUCUCAGGAGGCAUCCUAACCUCAGCCAAGGCAAUGAUUUCCCUCUCCUGCCAAGUGAGGACCUCAGGACUCCAACAAGGACUGGUCUUGUCCCUGGACUCUGGACUCAGUGUACACUGCUCUGGCAUGUUCUUCCUUAUCCCAAGUUCUCAUCCACCCAAGCCCCCAAGCCUGUCUCAGUUCUAAAGGAUCUCCAGCAGGUGGGAAAGCAUUUUCUCAGGUGCUCAGAGCACAGGGCGUCAUCGAUGGAGAACCAAGGGCCACAGACACUUCGUGAGCAUCAUACGGAACCCAGGGAGUCACCCACUGGAUGCACUCCACUUUACACAGGAGGACACCAAUGUCUUCUCUCCUCUACCCAAUGUCUACACAAGAGGAGAACGGCUCAUCAGAGUAGCAGGUGCCCGCAGAAGUAGACUCCAGCUCCCCAGUCCUGUGCCCUCCAGGCUAGGCCAGGGAUGCCCUUGGAACAGGUACACACCUAGAAACCUGAGGGAUUCUUCAGUCCAUCUCGGGCCUUCUGGGCAUGUAGCCAGGAGGAUGGAUGCUACUGUUCAUGGCAGAGCUGCCUCCGACUGCCUUCUCCUCGGCCUCUUGUCACUUCCCUGGUGUCUGCUCUUUCCUGGGGUCCCUGCAUGGUCCACACAGGAGAAAUCGGUGUGAGUGUGCCUGUGCAUGAUUGGAUGCGAACAGGAAGACGACCCCACAUGGACAGGGGUGGGCAGGGCUCCCCUAGGACCAUGAGGUCCCUGUUUCCAAAGAAAACCCGAAGGAAAGAGGUGGAGCCUUGGCCAAGGAAGCCAGAGCCCUGAUUGAUCCUCUGGAUUCUGAACCCCUCCUGAGGUCUGGGUCAGUCCCUCCAACUUUCUGGGCCUCAGAUUCCCAAAUGGACAAAGAACACGUUUUGUAAGAGCAAAGUCAAA